UAACUGUCCUCACUGCUUAAGGUAGUUUUC
rnacentral:piRNA from 1 species